rnacentral:rRNA from 1 species
AGUCGACGGUUAAGCAUCUUCGGAUGUGUAUAAAGUGGCGAACGGCUGAGUAACACGUGGGCAACCUGCCCUUUGCACUGGGAUAGCCUCGGGAAACCGAGGUUAAUACCGGAUACUCCAUAUUUGUCGCAUGGCGAAUAUGGGAAAGCUCCGGCGGCAAAGGAUGGGCCCGCGGCCUGUUAGCUAGUUGGUGGGGUAGUGGCCUACCAAGGCAAUGAUGGGUAGCCGGGUUGAGAGACCGACCGGCCAGAUUGGGACUGAGACACGGCCCAGACUCCUACGGGAGGCAGCAGUGGGGAAUCUUGCACAAUGGGCGAAAGCCUGAUGCAGCGACGCCGCGUGCGGGAUGAAGGCCUUCGGGUUGUAAACCGCUUUCAGCAGGGACGAGGCCGCAUGGUGACGGUACCUGCAGAAGAAGCCCCGGCUAACUACGUGCCAGCAGCCGCGGUAAUACGUAGGGGGCAAGCGUUAUCCGGAUUCAUUGGGCGUAAAGCGCGCGUAGGCGGUCUGUUAGGUCAGGAGUUAAAUCUGGGGGCUCAACCCCUAUCCGCUCCUGAUACCGGCAGGCUUGAGUCUGGUAGGGGAAGAUGGAAUUCCAAGUGUAGCGGUGAAAUGCGCAGAUAUUUGGAAGAACACCGGUGGCGAAGGCGGUCUUCUGGGCCAUGACUGACGCUGAGGCGCGAAAGCUAGGGGAGCGAACAGGAUUAGAUACCCUGGUAGUCCUAGCUGUAAACGAUGGACACUAGGUGUGGGGAGAUUAUACUUUCCGUGCCGCAGCUAACGCAUUAAGUGUCCCGCCUGGGGAGUACGGUCGCAAGACUAAAACUCAAAGGAAUUGACGGGGGCC